GCAACGAGCGCAACCCUCGUCCUAUGUUGCCCAGCGGGUCAUGCCGGGGACUCAUGGGAGACUGCCGGGGUCAACUCGGAGGAAGUGGGGAUGACGUCAAAUCAUCAUGCCCCUUAUGUCUUGGGCUUCACGCAUGCUACAAUGGCCGGUACAAAGGGCUGCGAUACCGCGAGGUGGAGCGAAUCCCAGAAAGCCGGUCUCAGUUCGGAUUGGGGUCUGCAACUCGACCCCAUGAAGUCGGAGUCGCUAGUAAUCGCAGAUCAGCAACGCUGCGGUGAAUACGUUCCCGGGCCUU
rnacentral:rRNA from 1 species